UUAUAUUUUUAGAAUUUUAUUUACUUUUUUCUGCAGCUGGAACAGGGGGUGGCACAGUCAUCCAGAAAUGAACUAACACAGCAUGGGUUUUUUUCCUUUUCAGUCAGAAACUUCGUUGUUUUAAACACACAUAGAUGUCUAUGUCUUUCAGCUUGAAAACAAAGUACUAUUAGCAGACAUACAGAGAUUUCUGCUCUUCAAACCAAGCACACAACAAAUAGUUCCUUUCUGCAUUCAUUGUAGCAGUUUCAUCAGCAUGGAAAUAGCAAUUUUGGUUUCUUACAGUGAAAAGUUGUUAUGACUUCAAAUCCCCAAUAAUCCAUCAUUCCACUUUUAUCUAGACCAGGUAGAUACUAGCACAGCAGAUUCACAUGCGAUAAGAAAACUCAACAGUAAUGAAAUGCAUUCUCCCAACAGCUGACUGUAUUUGUGCAACUUCUCCUCCAUUUAGAAUCAAACAUGCCACAGGCUUCUUGGAUGUGGCAAUUCUCCUCUGAAAGUGUCUCUAAAAAUGAUUUAACUCUUGCAGAAAACAAGUUUGCCUCGUGCAGAAGAGAGGCGUAAUGAAAGCCUGUUGUGACAAAAAAGACCAGCCAUUUUUCUAAAGCUGAAAAUUGUACCAAGUCUUUCCAUCCAUAGAAUACCUGAAGCAAGAGUGAAAGUGGCAACUGCAAGUUCCAAACAUAAUUCAGACUUUCUGAAAGUGAAACUCAGUAGAUUAAAUACAACUUGAAAAAGAGCCAUCAACCUAAAUUACAAGAGCUAUUUGAAACUGUCUGCAGGUCACUUUAAAGUAUGAUGCCAGGGCGUAUAUGUAUUCCAACACUUACACCCACAAAAGCAGGCAGCCGUGGAAUGUAACAUUAUCUUGAUAUUUAGAUUUGUUUUAGUUGUUUCACAAUAUACAUAGUGCUUACAAAAAAAAAAAAAAAUUGUAAAGCCAUUUUCAUCAUGUGUUUUGGAAGCUAUCACUUCCCAAAGGGAAUUCAAAUGGCUUUAAGCACCAAAAUUAAGGGGGGUGGGGGUGGAAAACACAAAUAUGGCAUCCUUGUAUUUUGUUACAGCAAAGUACAGAUGUUCAAGACCCCAUAGUUGUUCAUCUAUAGUUCAAGUAAUGACCGAGUGAACUGAAGCAGUGAUCUGUACGAAUCUGAAAUGAGGUAUCACAUUCAACCCAAAUCGGCAGACCUCAUUUUAUAGCAAUGUGAUCAGCAACUACAAUCUACAUAUACAGAUAUACUACAAAAAUCUAGUCAGUAUGGAAACAAAAAUAUUCUGCAACAGUUGAAGUCUCUGUGAUUAUUUCUAUUCUAUCCCAUUAAGGAACAGUGCUACACCUCCUGCCUCCCAUACAGCAGGUUUGUAUCAGAGCCCAGCUUGGUACUCCGUAGAAAAAAAAAAUCCUGCAGCUAUGGUUAUGCUUUAUUUUUAUACUUUAUUUUUUCCAAUCAAGUUCAAACUCAAACCUGCAGCCAUGAGCACCCACUUCAGUUAGUAGGUAUUAACAAAAUCUGUGUGAAAAGUUUUAGAGGGAAAAAUCUUCACAAUUGCUUAAAAGUGAGUAAUGUUAAAUAGCUAGUCCUCAGUUUUAUUGAGAAUUUUCAUCCUCCUCUCUUCUAACAAUACUCACAGUAUGUUUCAACCAGAAGAGGAAGCAAUAACAUCAUUAAGUGUUGAAGAAUGAAAGGAGGGAGAAAAUCAAUACUUGUAUUUAGUCUCAGUUCUAAUAUAUAAACCAAGCCAUUUAACCAGUAUAGAACAAAUUGUUUAUAGUAGUAUAAUAUAAGCACUGUCAACACAAGCAUACUCUAUCUAUUCUCUCAGUGAAUCAUUAUCUGUAGCCUACAAUGACUACUGUGCAUAGAAAGGUAGACAAAUUAAACUACACCGUCUGAUCUUUUACCAAGGCUAUUAAAACCAGGUUUUUUUUUUUUUUCCCCUCCCCUGAUGCAGCAUCAGUUCAACAAAGUUCCUCACACAAGAACCAAAUGCUUUCAUAAACUAAUUUGCCUUAUACAAAAGUUGGAAUAAUUUCACACCAGUAGCAUGAUUUGCAUGGUUUUGUAUUCUGAAAUAGUUGACUACAAACCACCUGUUUCCCUUUGUACUAGAAAACUGGGCACAAAAUAUAGCUGCAAAUUUCCACACUGAGACAGACAUUCAGUCUUCUGUAAAACUGGAAGAUCUGGGAAGAUGAACUGGCAAAAGCAAUCACUUGCUAGCUAAAAAAUGUAAGCUUUACACAAGACACCUUCAAGUUUCUACACACAAAAACAUCCACCAUUUCAAGAAAAAGCCCAACAAAACAAACAAAACACCACACAUCAGCACUUCAAACUUAUUUCUUCAAUGCAAAAUGCAUAGAGACCUGUAACUCCAAAAUUGCCCACUUCAUAUAUCCGAAAAUGAAAAUACAGCCAGCUUUAACACAGGUAUGGUACAAUGCAGUGGGACUGAUCUCACUAUAUCAGUACUUUUUUUGUCCUUUCCUACUCUCCCAUACCUCCUGCACCCCAGGAGCGUAAAAACUGCACCCCAAGUGCAAAAACUGCAGCCUCUGAUAACGAUAAGGCAGGCUACGGAAAGGGGAAGAUCAUUCUAAUUAUACCUUACUGCAGAAGGUAAGCUCCUGUAGGGGUGAUGCCAGUUUUGGUUUUUUGGGGUUUUUUGUUGUUGUUGUUUUUUUUUUUUUUGUUGUUGUUGUUUGUUUUUUUUUUUUUGUUGUUGUUGUUGGUUUUUUUUUUUUUGUUUUUUGUUGUUGUUGUUGUUUUUUUUUGUUGCAGAGUACUCUUCACUAAGAAAUAAGUGGAACUCCUUAAAAAUGGAGCUAUAUAUAAUUGUCAAGAUACACGAGCUUCUUUGUACUCAGCUAAUUAAUGGGGUAGGUUUUUCCAUCUCCACUCUUCAGCAAGCUAUCAGCAAUACCUAAACCCUGACUCUUACAUCAACAGAACAUUGGAGGAUUUUUUACCUAUGCAGAAAGAGGCAGUUUACCAGAAGGCUUCUUUAAUUUCAGCAUAGGGGAUGAGUAAGUCCUAGGUCAUGCUUCAAAUAAAAGCCUUUUCAGCAAAACAGCCUCAAGUACUCUCAAGGAACAUGGAGGCAAAAGACAUUAAUUUUCCAAAGUUUUUUCAAAGACAUUAAUUUUGUAUCAAGGGGUAUAACAUGAAGAACAGCUUUGCAGAGUCACCCUUUAUCCUCAAGUACAUUCAUGCUUCUGCAUCACAAAACCAUACAGGAUAAAGUAUUAAUUCUCUCUGGAUCUUUUGACACUCCUAGAAACAGCAGUUUGAGAAAUUAUCACAUAAAAUUAGCAUUUGUGCACAUGACUGUUCAUAAUCUUAAUUCUUAGAUUCACUGAGACAACUACACAGAUUUCCUGGAGUUACAUAGCUAUUAAGACAUUUUACUCAUGUUACCUUUGAGCAGCUAUCAUACGCCUACAUUCUAUUAUAGCAAAACCAAGUCCUUCCUAUUUGAGAACUAAAGAGCAUACAGGCACCUGAGCUUGAAUGUCAGUGUGAAUAGUUUAAAUCAGUUCAAGAUCAUGACAGAAAAAUCAUUUCAUAAUGGAGACACCAGAAUCCUGUUCUUAUAAAUCUUGUAGCUGCCUGAAAAUAGUAAGAAAAUUCAUUUAAAAUAAGGCACAGAUACUAAUGACAUAAUGUUUAAUACUGUAUUAUUUAUGCUGUCAAAAUACAACUUUUGGCAGUUAAAAAUAAUGCAUAAUUCUAGUAGAUAUUUCUCAAGAAUGAUCCUCAAGUCAAUCUUACCUUGCCACGAGAACAAAAGCACCAUCCACAGUUACGAUUCAAUAAAUCCAUGGCCACAUGCAGAAUUCAUUACAAGCCCAUGUACUUACAUCUACAGUCAAGCUGGAUUUUUGAAUACUAGAGUAUUUCACUUUAAUCAGUUAGAAUGAUUACUUCUUAUUAUUACCAGAAGUAAAUGGCCAUGAGUUACUUCAUUCUAUUUAAAAUAAAAUUAAAAAAAAAAAAAAAAGAGAGAGAAAGUAAGAUCUGAAUUUCCAUCACCUUUUAGAUUAUUGCACAAGGAGAAUACUGCAGAGUUUUAGCAGCUGCUACCCAAAUUAUAAAGCUAGUCCUUCUAUUACUUUUACAUUUAAGUGCUCAACAGAACAGUAAAUACAAGAAUGGAAUCAUACUAUAUACAGUUCCUUUAAACUUUUAAUUGACAGCAAGAACAUUUGAAGAGCAGUAAGUUUUAUCUCAAACUCC
rnacentral:lncRNA from 1 species